UGCCUUUUGUGUUACCCAUUCUUUGCACAUGCCCCAAGGAAUGUGGUGUCAAUAAAGGCAUACAGUAACGUUUGGUUGGCCUUUACAAAGUGACAUUGUUGUCACCUCCUCUAAAGCUCAAACCAAGUACAAGA